rnacentral:lncRNA from 1 species
GGGGGGGGGGGGGGGGGGGGGGGGGGGGGGGGGGGGGGGGGGGGGGGGGGGGGGGGGGGGGGGGGGGGGGGGGGGGGGGGGGGGGGGGGGGGGGGGGGGGGGGGGGGGGGGUGUGGGGGGAGCGCUCCGGGGGGGCACAGCACCGGGCUGUGGGGAAAAUGAACCCACAGCAGCAGGGGUUGAUGUCCGAAAAAGGAGGCAGAAAAGUCCUUUUUGCUUUAUUCCGGUGAAGGGAGAGGCCACGGGAUCUCUCAGAUUUUUGGAGGAUUCACCUCCCUUUUUAUCCCAAUUUCCCAUCCACAUUUCCCUCUCCCUUUCCCCAUUGCUGAGGUACUUGAGAGGCACAGACUGCCCAAACACCUGACACCUGAGAUUCCCCUCUAAUGUACAACCCCCCCUUUUCAUUUUUAAUUCUUACAGAAUUCAUAGUUUUUCCCUGUUGCUUCUUUCAUCUUCCAAUAUCCAAUUUCAUUUAUCAGCAAACCCACAGCUUGUUUGGAAAGGCAAAUCUCUUUUUUUUCCCCAUUCAUCAGUCAGUGGAAUCCAUCCCAUUGGUUUUUUUAUCUCUCAGUGCUAACUCCUCUGACUGCCUACAGCCCCAUGAAAAUCCCAAACAACUUCAUAAAUCACCAAAAAAAAAUCCUUCCCAAGUUCUAGCCUCCAGUUUUCUCUUGCCUCAGCUCUGCCUGCUCAAGAAAAGUCCUGCUAUUUGUGGUAUUUUUCCCAAAUAAAUUGUCCCUCUCCAUCCCUCUCUCUCCUCACCCCCAGCCUUUGCACUGCCCUGGGGUGGCAGAGCACAAAUCCUUUUUGGUGAAAUAUGAGGCAUUAAUUUCAGAAGUUUCCUUGAGUGGGCUUUGCACUGGUGUGGGGAAGUUCAUUCCCACCUGGCUCUGCUCUGGGAUUCUGGGAUUCUGAAAUUGGAGGCAGCAAAACAGGGGCAAGAUGGGCAGACAGAGACAUUUCUGGGUGUUCCCUGGAGAGUGCAUUUCCCAUCACACACAUCCCACAAUUCCUGUGCCUUCCCAGCUCCACCAAGCUCCUGCCACCCCAAGAACAGCAGAACCACCUGGGGCACCUCCCACCCCCCCAGAACUCCCCCAUUCCCCCCGAGAGCAGGGAGCACAGCCAGGUAAGAGGGAGGCCCCUCAACUUUCCUGUCCUUGGAGAAGCUCUCCAGCUUCUGCCGGAUGGAUUUGAUGCCUCUGGAGCCAUCUGGGAGGAGAAGGGGAAAUUUCAGCAGCAGCACCACGGGGCUGGGUGGGCACAGGGUCCCUGUCCCUCUGCAGCCUCCAGCCAGGGGACACUGCAGUGUCCAUCACUAGAUGGACAGCACGGACUGGGAUGGACAGCAAGGACUGGGAUGGACAUCACAGACUGGGGAUGGACAGCACUGACUGGGGAUGGACAUCACAGACUGGGGAUGGACAGCACUGACUGGGGAUGGACAGCACUGACUGGGAUGGACAGCACUGACUGGGGGGGGGGGGGGGGGGGGGGGGGGGGGGGGGGGGGGGGGGGGGGGGGGGGGGGGGGGGGGGGGGGGGGGGGGGGGGGGGGGGGG